UUUGACAGCAUAAUUUAUUAAAUGAUUUAUAAAGUGAAGAGUUCACUGCCAAGAAUAAUAACUCGCAUUCUUGGCACGUGUUAACAUUGUUAUAACAUUGGCAGCACCCUUAUGAUAUUAUUUAAACAUUAGCAUUUGACAAGAGUGAAUAGCUGACUGAUAAAAUAGCUAAUUGUAAUUUGUUAUAAUUGGCAGGUGCACGGGGCGACUCGCUUACUCGAUCCAUCGCGAAAAUCCCCUCUUCCACCCUUUUUGCAUUGCUGGCAAAGCCGAUGCUGAUGUCGAUUCGCAUUGUCGAGUUUCAAACCCGUAAGGGCGUAUCUUUGUUGCCGAACACCACUCAUUCGUUAUCGUUCGGCUGUUACAAUCGUCAGGAUAGCUUCGACUUAAGUGUGAAAGACGACAGAUCUUCAUCAGCGAGAACAUCAAAGGUUCUCCAUGUCUUUCUUGAAGAAGAAGUUUAUAUGUCCCUCAGAAUCUGCACGUUUAAAUUAUUGCAAAAUUCGGAGUUUAAAUGUGAAAGUAAUGAGAGUUAUUAAAAAAGAAGUACUAUUUCACACACAUUAAUAGUAUUCAAGCGAAUUUCGAGGGUUCUUCGAUAAAGCUGAUUCCCGGUGAGCGUUGCACGUAGCCAGAAUUGACCUAGUUGCCUAUAAAGCGAUAGGCAAACCCGCCCCGGCGUCGUGGCGCUAUUUUCACCCAGCGCGUCGCUAACUUUAGACAUACGGCCGACGGACGCUCCCUAAUAAGUUCAAGCGACGAUUAUGGUGGCCGACGCCGUAGCCGACGACGACAACGACGACGACGACGACGACGGAUAAAACAUAACAUCCCGUCGCAAAGCGAGCGUGCCAAAAUUAUGCCCCUGCUCGCCGAAAAGGAACAACACGAAGAUUGCAAGACCUCGACUAUGCAACAAUAAGCGCGAUCACGAAGAGACGGUUGUUCGUUCACAUGUAUCACGCGACUUUUAUGGUUGACACUGAAAGAGCCCAAGAGAAGCGGACGAGCUAUGUUUAAAGUUAACCGACGUUGAGGGAAGCGGUCCUUAGAAGAAUGAGUAAUUUUAGGAACCAACAGAGGGAAAACACAGGAGAUACAAGGAGGACUCAUCUUCUGCCUAUUAUCGAAACGAAAAAUAGAUGUAUAAUGGAUGCAAAGGAGCAACUUGACGAUACGCCAAGAACCAAUCUCAAUGGAUAGAGAGAAUGCUGUGAACUUGAACCUUAUUCGAAGAUUCAGCAAUGGGUCAAAGAACUUUUUUAAGAUAGAAAGAAAGACUUAAAAAAGCAAAGAAAUUGGAAGAAAAGAUGUGAACUGUGAUAUUGCUACGUCAAAAGGAUACCGGAGAUAUAAACUAAGAGAUAAAAUUUACAUGAGGUAAUAAAAGUUUAUAUAAUAAAAAAAACAAUGGUGGUGUGAUAUAAUGUGUAUUUGAGUUGACUCUGACAUCGUAUAACAAUAUAUAGUAACAUAAUGUAUAAUAUUUACAAAAUAAAUUAAAGUAUAGAAGUAUAUCGGUAGAUUACUGAUGCUUAGUUGCUUUGAUUAGCAGACUAGACAUAAUAAUGUAAUACGUAUUAAGAGAGGAUCGAUUUCUCGAACGGUGGUGAGAACGCUCGCGUGACAGUGAAUAAAGAGCGCGGUCUUCUCGAAGUAGUCUCGAAGUUCGUUGCCAAGCGUAAUCUCGUCAAGGUCCCUGCAUGUCUUCUUCACAUCUGUCCAGAAUGUCCCUUUCGUAGAUCGAAAGAUGCACUUGGUAGCGUAUCCAUCUGCAAGAUUUUUUUCCUAUGCUUGACAACGUCCAGGCUACCCCGAAAAAGGACCCUGUGACGAGAGCUAAUCUCGCCGACCGCUACCUCGGCCAUGAUGAUGAUAAUAAGUGAGCAAUGAUGGUGUC